UACGGAGGGUGCAAGCGUUAGUCGGAAUUACUGGGCGUAAAGAGCGCGUAGGCGGGAAUGUAAGUCAAACGUGAAAUUUCGGAGCUCAACUCCGAAGCGGCAUUUGAAACUGCAUUUCUUGAGGAACGACGGAGAAAGUAGAAUUCCACGUGUAGCGGUGAAAUGCGUAGAUAUGUGGAAGAAUACCUGUGGCGAAAGCGACUUUCUAGUCUAAACCUGACGCUGAGGCGCGAAGGCCAGGGGAGCGAACGGG
rnacentral:rRNA from 1 species